CCAGGGCUAGUUCUGGGAGCAGGUUGCACUAAAAACUAGAAAUUCAGAAGAAGCCAUUGUCUCCUGAUUGAGCUAUCAAGGACACGUUUAAAAUUUUUUUAUUGUAGAAAACUUUAUAUAUGGAAAUUGAGUGACUGUUACGAUGAACUUCUUCCACAUACCAUCACCUGGCUUCACCAGUCCGCAAGCCCAAGUCCUGGCCGGUCUUGUUUUCCUUAUGCCCCCACCACUCCCAGAUUGUUUAGGCCAAUGUCAAAUAUAAUAUUUCACUUGUAAAUAUUUCAAUGGAUAUUUUUAAAGAGAGGGUCAUACCAUUAUGACCUCUAAAAUAUUAACAAUUCUGUAAUAUCAGUUUUUCAGGCAGUGUACAAAUUUCUCUGAUCGCCUUAAAAUUUUUUUGAAUAGUAUGUUCAGAAACUUAGUUGCAUCUAUGCAACUAUGAGCAUAAUCUAUGAGCGUUUCCUCUUUUUUAAUUUGUCUGCCUUGCAGUGUAUUUGUUGAAACUGGGUUUGUUCUGUAGAGUGUCCCCACCUUGUGUUUAACCUGCUGCUUUGUCCAAAGGAUGUCUCAGCACUUCUACUCAACACUGUACUGAUGGAGCUGGGACAUUUAGCCAAGAAAAUGAAAUAAGAGGUAUCCAGAUUGGAAAGGAAGAAGGGAGGCUAUCUCUACUUAUAGAUGACAUGACCUAGAAAAUCCUAAGGAUUCUAGUAAAAAUGUAUUAGUACAAAUGAAUGGGUUCGGCAGAGUUGCAGGAUAAAGAUCAAUAUACAGAAAUCAGCUGUAUUUUUAUAUACCUGCAAUGAACAAUCCUAAAAUGAAAUUAAGAAAACAAUUCCAUUUAAAAUAGCAUCAAAAAUAAUAAAAUACCUAGGAACAAAUUUCCAAAAGAGACACAGACUUAUGUUCUGAAAACUAUAAAACAUUGUUGAGAGAAAGAAAACCUAAAAAUGGAAAGACAUCCCCUGUUAAUGGCUUGGAAGACUUAAUGUUAAGAUUGCAGGGACUUCCCCGGUGGCGCAGCAGUUAAGAAUCCACCUGCCAGUGCAGGGGACACGGAUUUGAUCCCUGGUCUGGGAAGAUCCCACAUGCCGUGGAGCAACUAAGCUCGCGAGCCACAGCUCCUGAGCCUGUGUGUCACAACUACUGAAGCCCAUGUGCCCUAGAACCCAGGCACUGCACCUACUGAGCCCAUGCGCCGUAACUACUGAAGCCCACGCACUCUAGGGCCCACAUGCUGCAACUACUGAAGCCCGCGUGCCUAGAACCCGUGCUCUGCAACAAGAGAAGCCACCGCACCACAACGAAGAUUAGCCCCCGCUCACCGCAACUAGAGAAAGCCCACGUGCAGCAACAAAGACCCACGCUGCCAAAGAAAUAAAGAUUGCGAGACUCCCCAGACUGAUCUACAGACUCAUUGCCGUCCCCAGUAAAAUUCCAUUUGGCUUCUUUGCAGAGAUUGACAAGCUGAUUUUAAAAUCCAGAUGCAGAUGCAACAGAUCAGGAUUAAUUAAAACAUCUUGAGAAAGAAGAACAAAGUUGGAGGACUCACAUUUCCAAUUUCAAAACUCACUACAAAGCUACAGGUGUGGUCCUGGCAUAAGGACAGACAGUUAGAGCAGUGGGAUAGAAUUGAGAAUCAAGAAAUAAACCCUCACAUUUAUAAUUGAUUUUUUUCCCAAUUUAAAAAAAUUGAGGUAAAAUACACAUAAUGUAAAUUUACCAUCUUAAUUGUUUUUAAGUGUACAGUUCAGUGGUAUUAAGUACAUUUAUAUCAUUGUGACACCGUCACUACCGUCCAUCUCCAGAACUCUUUCAUCUUGUAAAACUGAGACUCUAUAUCCAUUAUAUACUACCUCCCCAUUCUCCCCUUCUCCCAGCCCUUGACCACCACCAUUCUACUUUCUGUCUCUGAAUUUGAUACUCUGGGUACCUCACAUAAGUGAAAACAUACAAUAUUUGUCGUUCUGUGACUGGCUUAAUAUCUCCAGGGCUCAUCUGUGUUGUAGCAUAUGUCAGAAUCUUUUUCAGGCUGGAUGAAUAAUAGUCCACUUUGCGAUAAUGUCUUUUGAUGCACAAAAGGUUUUAAUUUUCA